UACGAAGGGGGCUAGCGUUGCUCGGAAUCACUGGGCGUAAAGGGUGCGUAGGCGGGUCUUUAAGUCAGGGGUGAAAUCCUGGAGCUCAACUCCAGAACUGCCUUUGAUACUGAGGAUCUUGAGUUCGGGAGAGGUGAGUGGAACUGCGAGUGUAGAGGUGAAAUUCGUAGAUAUUCGCAAGAACACCAGUGGCGAAGGCGGCUCACUGGCCCGAUACUGACGUUGGGGCACGAAAGCGUGGGGAGCAAACAGG
rnacentral:rRNA from 1 species